rnacentral:lncRNA from 1 species
AUUAUAGUGGACAGCAACAAUCAAAUUAUGGACCCAUGAAGGGGGGCAGUUUUGGUGGAAGAAGCUCAGACAGUCCCUAUGGUGGUGGCUAUGGAUCUGGAGGUGGAAGUGGUGGAUAUGGUAGCAGAAGGUUUUAAAAUAAAACAGAAAGGGCUACAGUUCUUAGCAGGAGAGAGAGCGAGGAGUUGUCAGGAAAGCUGCAGGUUACUUUGAGACAGUCAUCCCAAAUGCAUUAGCUGAGCUGUAAAAAUCUGCCACAGAAGGAACGAUGAU